GCCAGGCGUUGUGGCUGGUGCCUGUGGUCCCAGCUACUUGGGAGGCUGAGGCAGGAGACUCGCUUGAUCCCAGGAGUUGGAGGUUGCUGUGAGCUGUGAUGCCAUGGCACUCUACCCAAGGGGAUAGCUUGAGGCUCCGUCUCAAAAAAAAAAAAAAGUUAGACCAACCAUGGACUUUUUUUUGUUUGUUUGUUUGAGACGGAGCCUCAAGCUGCCACCCUGGGUAGAGUGCCGUUGCAUCACAGCUCACAGUAACCUCCAACACCUGGGCUCAAGCGAUUCUCCUGCCUCUG
rfam:Otolemur garnettii contig140692, whole genome shotgun sequence.